rnacentral:lncRNA from 1 species
GUGCAUGGAUCGCAUUCUUUUUUUAUAAAUGGAUCUUGAGUUUACAGUGUGGAGACACUGGAACGAGAGUGCAGAUGGUUGUUAGAAAACAACGGUACUGAGCGUGAUAAAAAAAAAAAGAAGUCACAUGGAUGCCUACUCACCCAUCAGUGACUUCUCGAUGCUGUAGUUAUGUAAGUGUUUUUUUGACCUAUGGUGCAUCGGUCAUUCAUCUUGAGGGUGCUAU